UGAACCACAACUAAACCUCAUGGACCAAACCCCACAAACCAUACACCAAACCUCAUGGACCAAAUCCCAUGAACCAUACAUCCAACCUAAUACCCAUAUCCCAUAAACCAAUACCCAAAUCCCAUGAACCAAUACCCAGAUCUCAUACCCAUAUCUUAUGAACCAAUUAGACUCUAAUACAUAGAGUUUAAUAUCGAUUAGGUCUUAACACAUAUACUUAGGGCCUAAUCAACCUCAAAUCCAACUGAAUCCUAAUACAUAUACUUAGGAUUCAGUAAACCAAGAUACGAUCCAUCUCAUCCAAUCUAUAAAGGUCUCUUAAUCGAAGGUGCCCCAAUCUACAGGGGGUAAUUAACAGUAGAUGCUUGCAUCUAUUGGAAGCCAUGGACUCGCAAAACCUGAUACCCACAUAUACAUAUAAAUACUCAUCUGAAUCAUGAAUACUACCCCACGGCCCCGAAAAAUUCAUCGACCGUGCGAGGUACGUCAUUCGUGGAGGCAGACAGAAGAAAAGGGAGUUGCUGCAGGGCUGCAACUUUGGUGGAUCUAGGUGCCCGAAUUGAAGAAGAUUGGUGGAGCCGCUUUGGUAUUCCGAAUUAAAGAAGACCUGGUAGACUUUUAAAUCUAGGGGCUGCGAAGGAGAAAGCGAAGUGCAGAAUUUCAGCAUCAUUUCCUUGCUGUUGGAGCUGAAAGAAAGUUUGUAGAGAAGAAAAUCAGCUGAAGAACCAUUGAAACCUGAGCCUAGGAGCAGGUUUGGAGGGAGUUUCUUGCUGGUGGAGUUGCCGAGCAAGAAGUCAGCUGAGAGAGACUUUUGAGUAGGAAAAUUCAGCUAAGGAGGUGUAACACUUAUGGUAAACAAUUUGAUUCUCAGCUGAAUUUGAGUAUUAUUAUCUUAGGAGGGUUUAAAGGACUAAAGUUGUAGUCUCUAAGUGUGCUGUGAAGAGAAUUGUGGAGCUACUGGAGAGCUGCCUUAUGGAGAUCUGGGCGCCCAAUUGAAGAGGGAUUUUGGUGAAGUUUCCAACUAGGGGCUGUGAAGGAAGAGUGAAGUGCAGAUUUUUAGAGUUUCCUUUUGCUGUUAGAGCUGAAAGUGAACUUGGGGGAGUUCAAACUCAGGUUAACAGGGCUGCAAGGAGGAAAGUAGUAGAGUAUAUUUCAGCAUUGAAGUCUAAUUGCUGUUGGAGUUGGAACAAGUUGAUUAGGCAGUAAAUUAAGGGCUGCUGCUGCAGGGUGGCUGCCUGGAUGAUAUAUGGAUGCAGGAACUGGGCGCCCACCUUGAAGAAACCUUGGUGGAGCUUCUUUGGUAGUUCAACUGCAGCAAAUCUGAUGGAGCCUUGAAUUAGGAAGGAAAAUUUGACGUGCCCGGAAGCUCGAGUUGACAUUCCGACGUACCUACGGUUCACUAAUUGAGGUAGUGUUAUCUCUAGUUGCACCGAGUCGCGAGAGCUCGUGGUGGAUACGUUCUGAGACGUUGAUUCUAGAUUGUUGGCAUCCCUACAGGAAGGUCGCUCCUCCUUGAACAAUGAGCUCUGGAGUAGUCAUCUUAACUGGACCAGAAGGUAGCGUCUCCCCCAGUUGACAGUCCCGUCGGGAUGUAGCUUGCGUCUCCCCAAUAUUUGGGAUAUCGUCGGUUCCAGCGCGAGUGGUGUGGCCGAGGAUCGCGGCAAGAGCCCAGCAGCUUAGCUAGCAGACACCCGAGUUUAGUGGUAUACCAUUUUGAGUUAUGUUGUACAUAUUUGAUGUAAAGAAAAAUGUAAAUGAAAGUGUAAAUAAUGUAAAUAACUAAAUGCUUUAGUUAUCCA